rnacentral:rRNA from 1 species
UGGGGCUGGAGCAGGUCCCAAGGGUUUGGCUGUUCGCCAAUUAAAGCGGUACGUGAGCUGGGUUUAGAACGUCGUGAGACAGUUCGGUCCCUAUCUUUCGUGGGCGUAGGAUAUCUGAGAGGAUCUUUCCUUAGUACGAGAGGACCGGGAUGGACGAACCUCUAGUGUACCAGUUGUCGCGCCAGCGGCACCGCUGGGUAGCUACGUUCGGAAUGGAUAACCGCUGAAAGCAUCUAAGCGGGAAGCCAACCUCAAGAUAAGAUAUCCCUCUUGAUGGAGACAUCAAGACUGAAGACCCCUCGUAGACUACGAGGUUGAUAGGCCAGGUGUGGAAGUGUGGUAACACAUGAAGCUAACUGGUACUAAUUGGUCGUGCGGCUUGGCCAU